GAUGUGGAGCUUCGCUGCCCUGAUGUUAGCGGCGGACGGGUGAGUAACACGUGGGUAACCUGCCUGUAAGACUGGGAUAACUCCGGGAAACCGGGGCUAAUACCGGAUGGUUGUCUGAACCGCAUGGUUCAGACAUAAAAGGUGGCUUCGGCUACCACUUACAGAUGGACCCGCGGCGCAUUAGCUAGUUGGUGAGGUAACGGCUCACCAAGGCGACGAUGCGUAGCCGACCUGAGAGGGUGAUCGGCCACACUGGGACUGAGACACGGCCCAGACUCCUACGGGAGGCAGCAGUAGGGAAUCUUCCGCAAUGGACGAAAGUCUGACGGAGCAACGCCGCGUGAGUGAUGAAGGUUUUCGGAUCGUAAAGCUCUGUUGUUAGGGAAGAACAAGUGCCGUUCAAAUAGGGCGGCACCUUGACGGUACCUAACCAGAAAGCCACGGCUAACUACGUGCCAGCAGCCGCGGUAAUACGUAGGUGGCAAGCGUUGUCCGGAAUUAUUGGGCGUAAAGGGCUCGCAGGCGGUUUCUUAAGUCUGAUGUGAAAGCCCCCGGCUCACCGGGGAGGGUCAUUGGAAACUGGGAAACUUGAGUGCAGAAGAGGAGAGUGGAAUUCCACGUGUAGCGGUGAAAUGCGUAGAGAUGUGGAGGAACACCAGUGGCGAAGGCGACUCUCUGGUCUGUAACUGACGCUGAGGAGCGAAAGCGUGGGAGCGAACAGGAUUAGAUACCCUGGUAGUCCACGCCGUAACGAUGAGUGCUAAGUGUUAGGGGGUUUCCGCCCCUUAGUG
rnacentral:rRNA from 1 species